rnacentral:rRNA from 1 species
AAGUCGAACGCUUCUUUUUCCACCGGAGCUUGCUCCACCGGAAAAAGAGGAGUGGCGAACGGGUGAGUAACACGUGGGUAACCUGCCCAUCAGAAGGGGAUAACACUUGGAAACAGGUGCUAAUACCGUAUAACAAUCRAAACCGCAUGGUUUUGAUUUGAAAGGCGCUUUCGGGUGUCGCUGAUGGAUGGACCCGCGGUGCAUUAGCUAGUUGGUGAGGUAACGGCUCACCAAGGCCACGAUGCAUAGCCGACCUGAGAGGGUGAUCGGCCACAUUGGGACUGAGACACGGCCCAAACUCCUACGGGAGGCAGCAGUAGGGAAUCUUCGGCAAUGGACGAAAGUCUGACCGAGCAACGCCGCGUGAGUGAAGAAGGUUUUCGGAUCGUAAAACUCUGUUGUUAGAGAAGAACAAGGAUGAGAGUAACUGUUCAUCCCUUGACGGUAUCUAACCAGAAAGCCACGGCUAACUACGUGCCAGCAGCCGCGGUAAUACGUAGGUGGCAAGCGUUGUCCGGAUUUAUUGGGCGUAAAGCGAGCGCAGGCGGUUUCUUAAGUCUGAUGUGAAAGCCCCCGGCUCAACCGGGGAGGGUCAUUGGAAACUGGGAGACUUGAGUGCAGAAGAGGAGAGUGGAAUUCCAUGUGUAGCGGUGAAAUGCGUAGAUAUAUGGAGGAACACCAGUGGCGAAGGCGGCUCUCUGGUCUGUAACUGACGCUGAGGCUCGAAAGCGUGGGGAGCAAACAGGAUUAGAUACCCUGGUAGUCCACGCCGUAAACGAUGAGUGCUAAGUGUUGGAGGGUUUCCGCCCUUCAGUGCUGCAGCUAACGCAUUAAGCACUCCGCCUGGGGAGUACGACCGCAAGGUUGAAACUCAAAGGAAUUGACGGGGGCCCGCACAAGCGGUGGAGCAUGUGGUUUAAUUCGAAGCAACGCGAAGAACCUUACCAGGUCUUGACAUCCUUUGACCACUCUAGAGAUAGAACUUCCCCUUCGGGGGCAAAGGGA